AGUGAACGCUGGCGGUAGGCCUAACACAUGCAAGUCGAACGGCAGCACAGUAAGAGCUUGCUCUUACGGGUGGCGAGUGGCGGACGGGUGAGGAAUACAUCGGAAUCUACUUUUUCGUGGGGGAUAACGUAGGGAAACUUACGCUAAUACCGCAUACGACCUACGGGUGAAAGCAGGGGAUCUUCGGACCUUGCGCGAUUGAAUGAGCCGAUGUCGGAUUAGCUAGUUGGCGGGGUAAAGGCCCACCAAGGCGACGAUCCGUAGCUGGUCUGAGAGGAUGAUCAGCCACACUGGAACUGAGACACGGUCCAGACUCCUACGGGAGGCAGCAGUGGGGAAUAUUGGACAAAGGGCGCAAGCAUGAUCCAGCCAUACCGCGUGGGUGAAGAAGGCCUUCGGGUUGUAAAGACCUUUUGUUGGGAAAGAAAAGCAGCAGGUUAAUACCCCGCUGUUCUGACGGUACCCAAAGAAUAAGCACCGGCUAACUUCGUG
rnacentral:rRNA from 1 species